GGGUGUGGAACAGGAAGCUGGUUUCAUCUCUUUCUUUAGUGCAGGAUUUACACUUGAGGCUUGGGACUGGCACAGAAGUCACUGGACUGUGACCCCCAUGGCUAGAUUUGGCCAACAACUGUGGUAUCAUCUGCAUAUUUGAUGAAGAUGUUGGAGUUAUGCCGCAGAACACAGUCAGGGGUGAACAGGAGAAACUGAUGGAGAAGAGCCCAAUUGUGUAGCAGUUGUAAAUGAAAUUUGCAACCCCAGGCCUGAUUUUCAGGAGAGAACAUGGCAGUAUCCAGACUUUGAACUGUUUGUGGACGAGUCAGCCUUCAGAGACCUUGGUAGGAUAUGCUGCAGUUACACAACAUGAAAUCGUGAAAGCUGAGCCAUUAUCUCGACACCUCUCUGCACAUACAGCAGGUUAGCACAAGGCAAAACUGUCACCAUUUAUAGUCAGCAGAUUUUGGGGUAGUACAUAAUUUUGGCACAUUGUGGAAACAUAGAGGUUUCCUUACUUUUUCAGGUAAAUCAAUCACACAUAAUAGCCUGAUUUUGAGCUGCUGGAGGCAAUCUUACUACCAAAACCUAAUGCUGUAUGUAAAUUUGAAGCUAAUAUGAGAAAAUUAUUCCAUUCCGAAGUGUAGCAUCAAAACAGAUGCAGAUGCAGCCACAGCCUCACAAGAGUCAUCUGUGUGUAAACUUUGUGUAUGUUGUAACAUGUUCCCCCCCUAGCUGACCUUGAAGAUCUUCAAACACAAUUGACAGCAGAAGAAGGAACAGCAUGAAGAAAAGCAGGAGGUGUGGUAAGAAAUGGGGUUUGGUAUGGCCCUCAUGACAAACCCUGUUUUCCAAAGAAAGUGUUUUAUUGUUGAUAUGUUCUCAAAGUGGGUGGAGGCCUUUCCAACUUCAAAACAAGAUGCUGGUGCCGGCAGGAAUGCCAAGGCAGCUGACAAGCAAGUGUGAGGAUGAAAUGUUGUAUUUUUGUGCAAACUUGUCCUCUGUUACAUCUCAAAUCCAUAAGCAGGUGAAGUAAGUUCUGCCCAAGUCAACGCAAACAGAUCUACACAACUUUAAACCAGGUGUUGAAUUGAAUCUUGAAUCACGUCUGUUAAAGGAAACAUGCGUGGUACAAACAUUAAGAAUGCCUGCCAGUGCGCCUCUCUUUCCAGACCUGGCAGGCCUCCUGUGAGAAACGUCCAGAUCCAAGGUGUACUGGUUGAGGGCCCGAAUGGCCUGCAGGAAGAAGCUCCUCAAGGAGCUUCAAGGAACGGAAACGUUUCCCUGACCGCAACAGAGAGAAGAGUCCACUGUUAGGAUGGCUAAGGUCCUUCAUUAUCUUCCUGGCCUUGGUCCAGCACCCCUUGCUGUAUAUAGUCUCCAGGUCAGGAAGCUCAAUGUGGAUGGUAUGCUCAGCUGAUCGCACCACCCUCUGGAGAGCUUGCCUGUCCUGCUUGGUGCUGUUUCCAAACCAGGCUGUGAUACUUCCCAUCAGGAUGCUGUCAGUGGUGCAGGUAUAGAAUGUCUUUAGCACCUUUGAAGGCAGUUUAAAGUCUUUUAGGCAUCUGAGAUGGUAAAGACACUGCCAGGCCUUCUUCCCCAGGGUGUUGACAUGACAGGACCAUGACAGGUCCUGUGUGAUGUAAACACCUAGGUACCGGAAACUGUCCACUCUCUCCACUGGGGUCCCAUUUAUAGUGAGGGGCUGGUAAUUCCUCUCCUGCUUUGUACUGAAGUCCACUAUCAGAUAGACUUAGGAAACUAGGAACUAGGAAACUAGAACGUAAAUGGCGUCAAACUAAAUUGGCAGUAUUUCAAUUAGUGUGGAAGGAAAGCGUUCUGAGAUACAAAAAUUCUCUUAGUGCUGCUAGAUCAGCGUAUCUCUCUGGCCUAAUUGAAGAUAACAAAAACAAUCCUAAAUUUUUAUUUAGUACUGUAGCAAAACUAACUAGGAGUAAAACCACUGUAGAAAAGUGCACACCAUCUACAUUUAGCAGCAAUGACUUCAUGAAUUUAUUCAAUGAAAAAUAUCAGGCAAAAAAUUCAGACUAUUAAUUUAAAACCAAAUGAUUUGAUAGAUAAUCCUUUAGAUAAUAUAGCUAUUUCUGAUCAGAGCUUAGAGUGCUUCACUCCACUUCAAGAGCCUGAUCUAAUUUCAAUAAUUUCCUCCUGAAAACUUUCCUUCAUUCUAGAUCCUUUACCCACAUCUUUCCUUAAACAGAUAUUACCAGUAGCUACUGAACCCCUUCUAAAAAUCAUUAAUUAUUCCAUUAGCAUUAGCUAUGUGCCUAAAUCUUUAAAGCUAGCAGUUAUCACACCCUUGAUUAAAAAACCGGACCUCGACCCCUGUCAGCUGUCAAACUAUAGACCGAUAUCAAACCUGCCCUUUAUCUCCAAGAUCCUAGAAAAGGCUGUAGCACAGCAGUUCUGUUCAGACCUGCAUAGAAAUAACAUUUAUGAAAUGUAUCAGUCAGGAUUUAGGCCUCAUCAUAGCACAGAGACAGCACUGGUUAAAGUGGUCAAUGACCUGUUACUGGCUUCUGAUCAGGGUUGUGUCUCCUUACUGGUGCUACUGGAUCUUAGUGCAGCUUUUGACACCAUUGACCACACUGUUCUACUUAAUAGGCUAGAACAUGUUGUUGGUGUUAAAGGAACAGCCCUCUCCUGGCUCAGGUCUUAUCUGACUGACCGUUAUCAGUUUGUAGAUCUAGAUGGUGACUUCUCCAUGCAUACCAAUGUUUGGUGUUCCACAAGGUUCUGUUUUAGAACCACUGCUUUUCUCCCUAUAUAUGCACUACAUUGGCUCCCAGUAAAAUUUUGCAUUGAUUAUAAAAUCCUGUUACUGACCUAUAAAGCACUAAAUGGUCUCGCGCAGCAGUACUUGAGCGAUCUUUUCGCUAUUUAUGAUCCGCCACGCCUACUCCAAUCAAAGGGUGCUGGUUAUUUGGUAUUACCUCAAGUAGCAAAGGCUACAGCAGGGGGCGGAGCUUUCUCUUUCAAAGCCCCACAGUUAUGGAACAGCCUUCCAAUUAGUGUUUGUGAUUCAGACACAGUCUCAAUGUUUAAGUCCAGGCUGAAGAUACAUUUGUUUAGUCAAGCUUUUAAUGUAUAGUUUUCUUAGGAGCAGAUCUGGAAGGUUCAUGGUCAUAGAGUGUUUGGUGUACUGGGAUGUUUGGAUGCUGUCAUCUUACCACCCUCGCAAGUCGCUCAGGUUUGCUGACUGUGAAGUGGUUGGAUGCUUUAUGUCCCAGGAAGCCUUCAUGUCUGUCACCUUCUGGCUCUCCCUUUUAGUUAUGAUGUCAUAGCUAGUCUUGCCGGAGUCCCUGCCUGCACUUUACACAUAAUCUGCAUUGUCUUAAAUCACAAAUCACAUGAUCAGAAUCAUACUUAAUAUCUUUCUCUUUCUCUCUCUACCUUCUCUGUGGAGCUAUACACCCCACUCCUGAGCUCCCAGUGUUUGCCAGUUUCCAUUGUGACCACUGCCCUACCCCUGGUCAGAGUCUCGUCGCUUGAUGGUGCCCACUGAUGCUGUGGAUGGAUCUGUGUGGACCAGGAGACAGCCAUGGACAGAGCCACUUGGGGACUUUCACACCAUCACAGAUCUGCCAUUUCAUCUGUCAGCUUGUGACAGCAAAUACUUAGUGUCUAUAAUGACCUUAGAAACUACGCUGACCUAAUAGUUCCUCAUGGGUCAUUGAUUUCUGUUGUAGAAAGGACAUUAAUCAGUUACAGUUACAUUAUUUACUGUUUAGUGUCACCCAGAUGAGGAUGGGUUCCCUUCUGAGCCUGGUUCCUCUCAAGGUUUCUUCCUCAUAUCAUCCCAGGGAGUUUUUCCUUUCCACCGUCACCAGAGGCUUCUCAUUAGGGAUAAAAUAAAAUAGUUUAAUAAUUGAAUUUAAUAAUUUAUUUUUAUUUCUAGUUAUUUAGUUAUUUUUCAUUUUCAUUUUUCCCCCUCCCCUUUCUCUGUUUCUC